rnacentral:rRNA from 1 species
AGUGAACGCUGGCGGUAGGCCUAACACAUGCAAGUCGAACGGAAGCACAGUAAGAGCUUGCUCUUACGGGUGGCGAGUGGCGGACGGGUGAGGAAUACAUCGGAAUCUACUUUUUCGUGGGGGAUAACGUAGGGAAACUUACGCUAAUACCGCAUACGACCUACGGGUGAAAGCAGGGGAUCUUCGGACCUUGCGCGAUUGAAUGAGCCGAUGUCGGAUUAGCUAGUUGGCGGGGUAAAGGCCCACCAAGGCGACGAUCCGUAGCUGGUCUGAGAGGAUGAUCAGCCACACUGGAGCUGAGACACGGUCCAGACUCCUACGGGAGGCAGCAGUGGGGAAUAUUGGACAAUGGGCGCAAGCCUGAUCCAGCCAUACCGCGUGGGUGAAGAAGGCCUUCGGGUUGUAAAGCCCUUUUGUUGGGAAAGAAAAGCAGCAGGUUAAUACCCCGCUGUUCUGACGGUACCCAAAGAAUAAGCACCGGCUAACUUCGUG